GUCUCCGGCCACACCACCUUGUAUAUACCUGAUCUCAUCUGAUUUUGGAAGCUAUGCAGGGUUGGACCUGGUUAGUACUUGGAUGGGAGAAGAAAAGAAUGUUGGUGCUGGUGCCU
ensembl:rRNA 5S_rRNA 5S ribosomal RNA